AAGGAAUAAGCAUUUACACAGCACCUACUAAGUGCCAGGUUUCCUCCUAGUGAUUCUCCAAGAAAGAAUUAUUUAUGCAAAUAGUAGCUUCAAAUACUUCUCUUGAUUCGUUUGCACCUUCAGGUAUCUGUUGAGCAGGAACUAGCAAAUCCUGGCUGUUUUGGAGCUAUGUUUUGGCCAGCAAGAAGGAGAAGAAGAAGAAGAAGAAGAAGAAGAAGAAGAAGAAGAAGAAGAAGAAGAA